rnacentral:rRNA from 1 species
ACGAACGCUGGCGGCGUGCCUAAUACAUGCAAGUCGAGCGGACAGACGGGAGCUUGCUCCCUGAUGUUAGCGGCGGACGGGUGAGUAACACGUGGGUAACCUGCCUGUAAGACUGGGAUAACUCCGGGAAACCGGGGCUAAUACCGGAUGGUUGUCUGAACCGCAUGGUUCAGACAUAAAAGGUGGCUUCGGCUACCACUUACAGAUGGACCCGCGGCGCAUUAGCUAGUUGGUGAGGUAACGGCUCACCAAGGCAACGAUGCGUAGCCGACCUGAGAGGGUGAUCGGCCACACUGGGACUGAGACACGGCCCAGACUCCUACGGGAGGCAGCAGUAGGGAAUCUUCCGCAAUGGACGAAAGUCUGACGGAGCAACGCCGCGUGAGUGAUGAAGGUUUUCGGAUCGUAAAGCUCUGUUGUUAGGGAAGAACAAGUGCCGUUCAAAUAGGGCGGCACCUUGACGGUACCUAACCAGAAAGCCACGGCUAACUACGUG